rnacentral:tRNA from 1 species
GAAGGUAUAGCUCAGUGGUAGAGUGUGUGCUUAGCAUGCAUGAAGUCCUGGGUUCAGUCCCCAGUACCUCCA